rnacentral:rRNA from 1 species
UACGGGGGAGCAAGCGUUGUUCGGAUUUACUGGGCGUAAAGGGCGCGUAGGCGGUCAGCACAAGUCAGUUGUGAAAUCUCCGGGCUCAACCCGGAAAUGGCAUUGGAAACUACCUUGCUGGAGGAUUUGAGGGGGAUUGGAAUGAGCUUGGUGUAGCAGUGAAAUGCGUAGAUAUCAAGUGGAACACCAGUGGCGAAGGCGAAUCUCUGGGCCAUUACUGACGCUGAGGAGCGAAAGCGUGGGGAGCGAACAGG